AUGUAGUGGCGCAUUAUUCUAGUCAAUAAUUUUAUUUCGAAGGCGGGGCUAAAAAUCCGUCAAAGAGCAUAUCUGUGAAACUUCUGGUGCUUGCUUAUUACGCCCAGUUUUGGGUGAGUGCUGGGAAUGAGAGUAUUGGACUGGCCGUAAUGGCAUACGGUAUCAGGCCCAAUAUUCGUGGAGACCUAUUCUUGUAGUAGUUAAUCUAUUACGACUUAGGAUUAAACCUAUCUUGUGAUGCAAGUUAUGGAUAGUGUAGCUUGUCUUGAGUGAAAAUGUUUGGGAUGAGAAGAUCUUAACAAGUUUUUUAGGCCAAAAAAGUUUGUUAUGCACUCUGAAAUCAUUUUUGCAAAAAAGAACUAGAAAUAAAAGUUGGUGAGGAAAUCUCCUAGAAUGUACGUUUCAUGGGAUUGCAGUGGGCACUAAGUGGCAAUCAAGUCAUAUAUUGGAGACGAUAUAUUGAUUUCUUUAAAGGGGAACCGCUUUACUGGUAACGGAAAGUAGAAAUCAGGGAAAUCCUACUUGACCUAAGGCUCAAAGUUUACCAUGCAAGUAGCCAUUAUUUUUUUU
rnacentral:sRNA from 1 species